AGAGUUUGAUCAUGGCUCAGGAUGAACGCUAGCGGCAGGCCUAACACAUGCAAGUCGAGGGGUAGAGGUUGCUUGCAACCUUGAGACCGGCGCACGGGUGCGUAACGCGUAUGCAACCUACCUUUUACAGGGGGAUAGCCCAGAGAAAUUUGGAUUAAUACCCCAUAGUAUUAUUUGAUGGCCUCAUCAGAUGAUUAAAGUUACAACGGUAAAAGAUGGGCAUGCGUCCUAUUAGCUAGAUGGAGUGGUAACGGCACCCCAUGGCGACGAUAGGUAGGGGUCCUGAGAGGGAGAUCCCCCACACUGGUACUGAGACACGGACCAGACUCCUACGGGAGGCAGCAGUGAGGAAUAUUGGACAAUGGUCGCAAGACUGAUCCAGCCAUGCCGCGUGCAGGAAGACGGCCCUAUGGGUUGUAAACUGCUUUUGUACGGGAAGAAUAAGGACUACGUGUAGUCUGAUGACGGUACCGUACGAAUAAGGAUCGGCUAACUCCGUGCCAGCAGCCGCGGUAAUACGGAGGAUCCAAGCGUUAUCCGGAAUCAUUGGGUUUAAAGGGUCCGUAGGCGGGCUGAUAAGUCAGGGGUGAAAGUUUGCCGCUCAACGGUAAAAUUGCCUUUGAUACUGUCAGUCUUGAAUAACUGUGAAGUGGUUAGAAUAUGUAGUGUAGCGGUGAAAUGCAUAGAUAUUACAUAGAAUACCGAUUGCGAAGGCAGAUCACUAACAGUUCAUUGACGCUGAUGGACGAAAGCGUGGGGAGCGAACAGGAUUAGAUACCCUAGUAGUCC
rnacentral:rRNA from 1 species